rnacentral:rRNA from 1 species
CGAACGAGACUUUUUAUUUGAUGCUUGCAUCUUUUAAAAAGUCGAGUCCGCUAACGGGUGAGUAACACGUGGGUAACCUGCCUUAAAGUGGGGGAUAACACUUGGAAACAGGUGCUAAUACCGCAUAACCAUCAAAACCGCCUGGUUUUGAUGUUAAAGAUGGUUCUGCUAUCGCUUUAAGAUGGACCCGCGGCGUAUUAGCUAGUUGGUGAGGUAAUGGCUUACCAAGGCAAUGAUACGUAGCCGAACUGAGAGGUUGAUCGGCCACAUUGGGACUGAGACACGGCCCAAACUCCUACGGGAGGCAGCAGUAGGGAAUCUUCCACAAUGGACGAAAGUCUGAUGGAGCAACGCCGCGUGAGUGAAGAAGGUUUUCGGAUCGUAAAACUCUGUUGUCAGAGAAGAACGUGUGUGAGAGUAACUGUUCACGCAGUGACGGUAUCUGACCAGAAAGUCACGGCUAACUACGUGCCAGCAGCCGCGGUAAUACGUAGGUGGCAAGCGUUGUCCGGAUUUAUUGGGCGUAAAGGGAACGCAGGCGGUCUUUUAAGUCUGAUGUGAAAGCCUUCGGCUUAACCGAAGUCGGGCAUUGGAAACUGGGAGACUUGAGUGCAGAAGAGGAGAGUGGAACUCCAUGUGUAGCGGUGAAAUGCGUAGAUAUAUGGAAGAACACCAGUGGCGAAAGCGGCUCUCUGGUCUGUAACUGACGCUGAGGUUCGAAAGCGUGGGUAGCAAACAGGAUUAGAUACCCUGGUAGUCCACGCCGUAAACGAUGAAUGCUAAGUGUUGGAGGGUU